rnacentral:rRNA from 1 species
UACGGGGGGGGCAAGCGUUGUUCGGAAUUACUGGGCGUAAAGGGCUCGUAGGCGGCCAACUAAAUCAGCCGUGAAAUCCCCAGGCUCAACCUGGGAACUGCGUCUGAUACUGGAUGGCUUGAAUCCGGGAGAGGGAUGCAGAAUUCCAGGUGUAGCGGUGAAAUGCGUAGAUAUCUGGAGGAAUACCGGUGGCGAAGGCGGCAUCCUGGACCGGCAUUGACGCUGAGGAGCGAAAGCUAGGGGAGCAAACGGG